AACGAACGCUGGCGGCAGGCUUAACACAUGCAAGUCGAGCGCCCCGCAAGGGGAGCGGCGGACGGGUGAGUAACGCGUGGGAAUCUACCCAUCUCUACGGAAUAACGCAUGGAAACGUGUGCUAAUACCGUAUACGUCCUUCGGGAGAAAGAUUUAUCGGAGAUGGAUGAGCCCGCGUUGGAUUAGCUAGUUGGUGGGGUAAAGGCCUACCAAGGCGACGAUCCAUAGCUGGUCUGAGAGGAUGAUCAGCCACACUGGGACCGAGACACGGCCCAGACUCCUACGGGAGGCAGCAGUGGGGAAUAUUGGACAAUGGGCGCAAGCCUGAUCCAGCCAUGCCGCGUGAGUGAUGAAGGCCCUAGGGUUGUAAAGCUCUUUCACCGGUGAAGAUAAUGACGGUAACCGGAGAAGAAGCCCCGGCUAACUUCGUGCCAGCCGCCGCAGUAAUAC
rnacentral:rRNA from 1 species